GAUGAACGCUGGCGGCGUGCCUAAUACAUGCAAGUCGAGCGAACAGACGAGGAGCUUGCUCCUCUGACGUUAGCGGCGGACGGGCGAGUAACACGUGGAUAACCUACCUCUAUGACUGGGAUAACUUCGGGAAACCGCAGAUAAUACUGCAUCACAUGAUGUACCGCAGGGUUCAACAGAGAUUCACGGUCUUCGUGACACAUAUAGAUGGAUCCGCGCCGCAUUAGCUAGUUGGUAAGGUAACGGCCUACCAAGGCAACGAUGCGUAGCCGACCUGAGAGGGUGAUCGGCCACACUGGAACUGAGACACGGUCCAGACUCCUACGGGAGGCAGCAGUAGGGAAUCUUCCGCAAUGGGCGAAAGCCUGACCGAGCAACACCGCGUGAGUGAAGAAGGUCUUCGGAUCGUAAAGCUCUGUUAUUAGGGAAGAACAACUGUGUAUGUAACUAUGCACGUCUUGACGGUACCUAAUCAGAAAGCCCCGGCUAACUACGUG
rnacentral:rRNA from 1 species